GUGGGGAAUCUUCCGCAAUGGGCGCAAGCCUGACGGAGCAACGCCGCGUGAGUGAAGAAGGCCUUCGGGUUGUAAAACUCUGUCUUCAGGGAAGAAAAAAAUGACGGUACCUGAGGAGGAAGCCCCGGCUAACUACGUGCCAGCAGCCGCGGUAAAACGUAGGGGGCGAGCGUUGUCCGGAAUUACUGGGCGUAAAGGGCGCGCAGGCGGUUAUCCAAGUCAGGGGUGAAAACUCUGGGCUCAACCCAGAGCGUGCCUUUGAAACUGGGUGACUUGAGGGCAGGAGAGGGGAGUGGAAUUCCCAGUGUAGCGGUGAAAUGCGUAGAUAUUGGGAGGAACACCAGUGGCGAAGGCGGCUCUCUGGCCUAACCCUGACGCUGAGGCGCGAAAGCGUGGGGAUCAAACAGGAUUAGAAACCCGAGUAGUCC
rnacentral:rRNA from 1 species